GAUGAACGCUGGCGGCGUGCCUAAUACAUGCCAGUCGAGCGAACAGACGAGGAGCUUGCUCCUCUGACGUUAGCGGCGGACGGGUGAGUAACACGUGGAUAACCUACCUAUAAGACUGGGAUAACUUCGGGAAACCGGAGCUAAUACCGGAUAAUAUAUUGAACCGCAUGGUUCAAUAGUGAAAGACGGUUUUGCUGUCACUUAUAGAUGGAUCCGCGCCGCAUUAGCUAGUUGGUAAGGUAACGGCUUACCAAGGCAACGAUGCGUAGCCGACCUGGGAGGGUGAUCGGCCACACUGGAACUGAGACACGGUCCAGACUCCUACGGGAGGCAGCAGUAGGGAAUCUUCCGCAAUGGGCGAAAGCUUGACGGAGCAACGCCGCGUGAGUGAUGAAGGUCUUCGGAUCGUAAAACUCUGUUAUUAGGGAAGAACAAAUGUGUAAGUAACUAUGCACGUCUUGACGGUACCUAAUCAGAAAGCCACGGCUAACUACGUG
rnacentral:rRNA from 1 species